AUCCAGCUGACGAGUCUCGAAUAGGAUUAAACGCGCAUCUUGGAU
rfam:Schistosoma curassoni strain Dakar, Senegal genome assembly, scaffold: SCTD_scaffold0002161